rnacentral:rRNA from 1 species
UACAGAGGAUGCAAGCGUUAAUCGGAAUUACUGGGCGUAAAGCGUGCGCAGGCGGUUUUGUAAGUCUGUCGUGAAAUCCCUGGGCUCAACCUAGGAAUUGCGAUGGAGACUGCAAGGCUAGAAUCUGGCAGAGGGGGGUAGAAUUCCACGUGUAGCAGUGAAAUGCAUAGAGAUGUGGAGGAACACCGAUGGCGAGGGCAGCCCCCUGGGUCAAGAUUGACGCUCAUGCACGAAAGCAUGGGGAGCGAACAGG